rnacentral:rRNA from 1 species
GACGAACGCUGGCGGCGUGCUUAACACAUGCAAGUCGAACGGAAAGGCCCUGCUUUUGUGGGGUGCUCGAGUGGCGAACGGGUGAGUAACACGUGAGUAACCUGCCCUUGACUUUGGGAUAACUUCAGGAAACUGGGGCUAAUACCGGAUAGGAUCUCCUGCUGCAUGGUGGGGGUUGGAAAGUUUCGGCGGUUGGGGAUGGACUCGCGGCUUAUCAGCUUGUUGGUGGGGUAGUGGCUUACCAAGGCUUUGACGGGUAGCCGGCCUGAGAGGGUGACCGGCGACAUUGGGACUGAGAGACGGAGCAGACGCCUACGGGAGGCAGCAGGGGGGAAUAUUGCACAAUGGGCGGAAGCCUGAGGCAGCAACGCCGCGUGCGGGAUGACGGCCUUCGGGUGGUAAACAGCUUUCGCCUGUGACGAAGAGGGAGUGACGGUAAUGGGUAAAGAAGCACCGGCUAACUACGUG